UCGUUCACCUUGUGAUCAGCAGGGCGCAGUUCGACUCAGGCCAUGGAACGGGGACCUGA
rnacentral:ncRNA from 1 species